CUUGGUUUAGAAUAUAAUUUAUUAUUUCUUUGCUUUGGGUAAAACAUUACCAGACACGUUUCGUUUUCGUGAGAUUCAUCCUAUUAUAUCUAAUACUAUGGCAUUUCUUCAUUUCAAGUGUGCUUUUAUAGUUUCUGCGCCACUGUAAAGGGUUAAAACAUAUUUGGCCAGACGUCAAAUGCUCUCUGAUUCCGCACAGCGAUCAGAUGAGAGAGCUGCACGUUUCUCUGAGUCUCCGGGUCCAUGUUGGUUGAUCUGCUCUGCUGGGUCAUUUCAGGCCACGUCUGUCCGAUCACAGAAGCAAACGCUGGUAUUACAGGGAUAUCUAAUAAAGGACUUACACACAUACUGUGCUGCAGCUUCGAGGUUUUCAUGUUGGGAGGGAUUCAUCCACCUCGGCCCUGGCAGGACUAAACCUUCCAUCAUUUUUCUGCCUCUGCUGCUCCAAACCACUCUGGAACGACUCCGAUAUCACAAAGAACAAGAUAUCAGCGAGUCCGUGGAUGACAACAGCAUGAAGUUGAAGGCCUAA
rnacentral:lncRNA from 12 species